CCUACGGGAGGCAGCAGUGAGGAAUAUUGGUCAAUGGCCGCAAGUCUGAACCAGCCAAGUCGCGUGAAGGAAGACGGCUCUAUGGGUUGUAAACCUCUUUUGUCGGGGAGCAAAGCCAUCCACGUGUAGCUCUUUGAAAGUACCCUACGAAUAAGCAUCGGCUAACUCCGUGCCAGCAGCCGCGGUAAUACGGAGGAUGCGAGCGUUAUCCGGAUUUAUUGGGUUUAAAGGGUGCGUAGGCGGUAGGUCAAGUCAGCGGUGAAAUUUCGGGGCUCAAACUCGGAAUUGCCGUUGAAACUGUAUGCCUUGAGUGUGGUUGAGGUAGGCGGAAUGCGUGGUGUAGCGGUGAAAUGCAUAGAUAUCACGCAGAACUCCGAUUGCGAAGGCAGCAUACC
rnacentral:rRNA from 1 species